rnacentral:hammerhead_ribozyme from 1 species
AUCAAGCUGACGAGUGAAAAACAGAACGAAACGUGCGUCCUGGAU